UUAAACAAAAAAAAAAAAUUAGAAAAAACGAUCGGCAACUAUUCUUCACCAUUAUGCGCGCGCGAGCUUCAUCCUUUGUCCUUUAGCACUACCUCAUCCUUCAACCCUUUAGCGUUUCAUCUUCAACCUUCAACAUGAAUCCCUCAAUGCAAACUCAUCAUUCAUCCUUCAACACGAAUCAUAUGAACUUCAUCCAUUUUUCUCUCACCCUAAAUCUUAGGGGUUAAUAAUCUUUUCAUCCAUUUUUCUCGCACCCUAAUUCUCCCUCGCCGUGACUACAAUUUAUAAUUGCUCCAAUGACGGAGGACGACUCCAAUCUUGACGCCACCGCCAGCGAUUCGUCCAGACCUCUGUUAAAUUUUCACUGUCGAGCUCCGACAAAGAGAGACCACACUUUCCGCUACCGAGCAACUUCCAAAACUAAACCCUGCACUCGAAUCACUUCAAUGAGUGAUCCUCUUCCCCCUAUAGUGUGGUUUUCUGUUAAUCAAAUAGAAGAUUUACGGUCUCGACAAGGAUGGAAAUCAGUGGAAGGAGAGAGGUGUUGGUGCUGUCAAGUUCUUAAAACAUCAGGCUACUAGUAAAGUUAGGCUUCUCAUGAGGCAAUCCAAAACCCUUAAGAUUUGCGCCAAUCAUCUCAGUAUGUGAUUUCUUCUUUUAUUUUUUUGCUAAAUCUUUGUUUUGUAAUUUUGAUUUCGAGAUUUUUAUUGUUCUCUCGAUUGUGUUACACUUUUGGCUACGAUGAAUGUCCAAGAGCAUGCUGGGAACGAGAAAUCUUGCGUUUGGCAUGCUAGGGAUUUUGUUGAUGUCGUUUUCCAUCUAUUUAAAAAGAAGGGUUGUUGGGUGGACCAUAACAUUCAUAUGCUUAGGGGCAUUUGUCUUCACAUUAAUGUUUAACUUUUCUUAGCAGUUAUAUCCGUUUCACAGUGUGUGGAGUUAGAGGCACUUCUCUCAUGUCUGGAUUCGUCUUCCUAACCUGUACAGAUCAAGAUGAUACAAGGCACAAAUUUGGUCACUAUGGAGGUUUCACAUGCCCAUUUGGGCCACUGCUGCUUACAACUUGCAUUCUCAUCAAUUCAUACCUACUUAUUAAUCUCGGGUACGGGCUCGGUCGUCAUCUAGCAAGCACUAAAUUAUCAAGCAACAAGACAAUCAAAAGGAUUCGUGUUCGAGGGGGUAAUGUGAAGUGGAGAGAAAUUAGAUUGGAUACCGAUAACUUCUCAUGGGACAGUGAAGCAAUAACUCGCAAGACUCGUCUUCAGGAUAUGGUUUACAAUGCCUCAAAUAACGAGCUCGUCCGAACGUAGACUCUUGUUAAGAGUGCUAUUGUUUAGGUUGAUGCUGCACCAUUCAAGCAGUAUGGUGUUGAAAUUGGUAGAAACAUCACUAUGGUGUUGAAAUUGGUAGAAAAAAGAAAUCAGCUGCAACCAAGAAGGAUUCUGCAGAGUAGUUGGCUUUUCUUUCAAAUCGGAUGUCUUUUUUCUCAAGAUCGUCAGCUAGAUUCCCACAUUGAAGAGCAGUUUGGUGGUGGUCGUUUGUUGGCCUGUAUUUCAUCUCGUCCAGGUCAAUGUGGCAGGGUUCAUGGAUACAUCCUCGAAGGUAAGGAACUAAAAUUUUCCAUGAAGAAGUUACAGAGGAAGAAGGGAAAUGGUGCUGCUUAAUUGUAGUGUUUUCCAUCUUAUAUAUGACUUCAUUUGUUUUUAAUAGUGCAACAGUAUUUGGUACCUUUCAAGUUGAUGUCAUUUACUUUGGAUGAGACAAUGUUUAUCAGACAACUUUUAGGUUGAUGCCCUAAGACAUCUUUAGUGUCAAACCUUCACUAGUUAUGUGACAAUUUAUCAGCUCUGAAUUUUAUAACUUUGAUUUUGUAAAAAAAUUAUGAUUCAUUGUCAUUGAUUUUUAAAUGUAAAGUUUCCUAUGAAGUUCCGUGUUUUA